rnacentral:tRNA from 1 species
GCCUGAGUGGCUCAGUGGUUGAGCAUCUGCCUUCGGCUCAGGGCGUGAUCCUGGGGUCCUGGGAUCAAGUCCCACUGCAGGCU